rnacentral:rRNA from 1 species
AACGAACGCUAGCGGCGCGUUUCAAGCAUGCAAGUCGAACGAUAAUAGGCCGUGUUCUUCGGAACAUAGCUUAGGAAAGUGGCGAACGGGUGAGUAACACGUGGAUAAUCUGCCCUGUGGUUUGGGAUAGCUGGUGGAAACACUAGGUAAUACCGGAUACACUUUUUGCACACAAGUGCAAAAAGAAAGGAUGCAAUUGCACCGCCAUGGGAUGAGUCUGCGGCCUACUAGUUUGUUGGUGAGGUAAUGGCUCACCAAGACCAUAAUAGGUAGCCGGCCUGAGAGGGUGAUCGGCCACACUGGGGACUGAGACACGCCCAGACUCCUACGGGAGGCAGCAGUGGGGAAUUUGGACAAUGGGCGAAGCCUGAUCC